GUCCAAACUAACACUCAACCCCAAACGUGAUCCUCGAUAAAUAAGACAUCUAUGCAUCACUUUGGAAGAAACGAGCUUACGAUCGUCUCAAACUUCACUUAGCUAAAAACUUUUGCGAGCUUGAUGUACAGUCCCAAUAAUGUGUAUAUCCAUGCCAAAGAUCUUUUGAUCGACUACCUUAACAACUACGAAGUGACGUGUCUAGGAUUUUAAAGGCUCAAGGCAAACAUAUUAAUAUAUUACUAUAAAAUAUUUAUGAAAAUAAAAUUAAUAUACCAACAAAAAUAUAUAAAUUUUUUUAUAUACAUUAGUUUUAGCGAAGAGACAAAAUUAUAAUAGUAAAACAUUAUCAUAAAAUUUUAUUGGUUAUUGUGAAAAUCUUCAUCAUUUAUAUAUGUAAUCGAAAUAUAUACAAAGUAGAUGUAAAAUUAUAUGCAAUAAACUAAUAUAAAAAUGUAAAAAAUACAAUAUUAAACAAGAAAAUAUUUAAUAAAAUAUAGACAAAAAAACAAAAUAUUAGUGAAACGUAAAAAAAAUCAAUGAAAUUAAAUUGAUAAAUGAAUUUAAAAUGUAAAAUAUCAUGAAACAAGUAUGAUGAAAAAUAGAUUAAACCAAAUAAAUAUCGAUAAUAAUUAUAGUUAGUCGAUUACUGUAAACAUAGAGGUUAAAACUAUACUUUGUAACUAUUUGAGUAAAGUAAAACCAAAUUAGUUUAACUUAUAAAUUUACAUUCAGUUAACAUAUAUAAAUGAUGAAGUUGUUACCAAUAACCCAUAUAAUUUAAUUUUAUAAUAAAUUUUUUACUAUAAUAGUUUUGUUUCUUCGCUAAACCUAAUACAUAUAACAUAUCUCAUAUAUAUAAAUUAAUUUUUUACGGAAUAUAUUUAACACUACCCAUUACAUAGCAAUCACAUUAAUAAAUAUGAAUAUGAAAUUUGGUGGAUAAUGUGUUAAAAAAAAUAAAUUGACAAUAGAAGGUACCUGAAUCUUGCAGUCUCGAACCCUUUGGACAGUUUCCACAUCGGUUACUUAUCCGGUAAAGAAUUUGGUGGCAAAAAGGCCUUGUUUUGGUCGGCAGCUCCAUAUUUGAAGGGAUCUCCAUACAUAAAUAACAUUGCUUUAGCCAUCAACAUCACCAUUGCGUCAAUCAUAGUCACCGGAAAAUACUUUAGCAAGGACAUCCCUAAGUAUACCUCUUCUUGGUAACAAAAAAAAUUAAGAAUAUUUGAUGGUUUAUUGGUUAAGCAUUUAUUUAAAAACGUUUGAGAAAUAAAAUAUUUGUUUCUUGGCCAAAGUUGAAGAAACCAAAGACAUUGAUAAAAAUCAUAUUGUACUAAGCUAGCCAAAUAUCAUAGUGAUUAGCAUUAAAUUCAUAUGAUACUUAGGUCUAUAAAGCUCAAAACUCAAUAAUCCAAACGAGCUUUAACCACAAAUAGAUAAAUAUUGUUGAUAGGCAUAUUAGUAAUUAUUUCACAUUGAGAGAAAAAAAAAAUCUAAACCACAAUUUGACAUACAAUAGAAGUAUGCAGUUUUAACGUUCAUGCAUACAUAAAUUAAUAAUUAGAAGACAAAAGCGAUAUUAAUUAAGUGACUUAAGGAGUUAUAAUAUCUAUUCCCUCGGGAAUUCCGUCAGAUAAUGCCAUAUUUUCUUGUUGAAACGGCCAUACGAGCAUCCAAGUUAUUAAGAGCAAAGCUCAUCUCCAUACUAGAAUUUCCACCUCUGGCCACAAGAACAGUUUUACCUCUUAAGGCAUGUCCAGAUUUGUACUUACUCGAAUGCACAAUUUCACCAUUGAAAGUAUCGAGCCCUUUCACCGCCGGAAUGUAACAUUCUCCGUUCACUCCAGUCGCAACCACCACAAAAUACGACCAGUACAACCUCCAGAGUUUGUGGGGCUGGUUGGAGUUUCUGUCGGUUGCAACUGAAAAAAAGAGAGAUCAGUAUCUUCUGGAGGUGAAAGGCUUGAUACUUUCACCAGUGAUAUUGUAUAUUCGAGUCGGUACACUUUGGACGUGACUUUAAAGGUAAAAUUGUUUUUCUUGUGGUCGAAGGUAAAAAUUCAGGUUUGGAGAUGAGUUUUGAUCUAAACAAAUUGGAUGCAAAUAAGUUCGAUGUAUGUAUUGCAGAGGCAUGUAUUGCAGAGGAAUGUAUUGACCAAAGAAGAGGAUACUAGGAGAUGUCAUUGCUGAAAUAUUUCAAGUGACUAUGGUUGACAUAUUGGUGAUGUUGAUGGCUAAGGCAGGGUUAUUUAUGUACGUAGAUCCAUCCAAGUAUUGGCUCAUCCGACCAAAACAAGGUCCUUUCACCACCAAAUUCUUUACCGGGAGAACUCCAGUCAUCAGUGAGGGAACUUUCCAAAAGAUUUGCGAUGGCAAGAUUUUUUUUGGACAAUAGAAGAUACUUGAAUCUUUUGCCGCGAAUCUUUCGGACAGAUCCCUCACUGAUGACUGGAGUUUCUCCCGGUAAAGAAUUAGGUGGCGAAAAACCGUUUUUGUGUCAACCACAGUCACCGGAAAAUACUUAAGCAAUAACAUCCCCAUGUAUACCUCUUCUUUGGCCAAUACAUGCACAUGUACUUUUCUUUUUGGACAACUAGCUACAUGCACCUGUACAAAUUUAGAGAAUGGAUUGAAUAAAACGACAUAUGGUAAUGAAAAAAUUUAGAAUAUUAAAAAGUGUAUUGGUUAAGCAUUUGUUAAAAAAAUUGAUACAUAAAUCAUUUUUUUC